GUCCACGCCCUAAACGAUGUCAACUAGGUGUUGGGGAAGGUGACUUCCUUAGUACCGCAGCUAACGCGUGAAGUUGACCGCCUGGGGAGUACGGCCGCAAGGUUAAAACUCAAAGGAAUUGACGGGGACCCGCACAAGCGGUGGAUGAUGUGGAUUAAUUCGAUGCAACGCGAAAAACCUUACCUACCCUUGACAUGUCUGGAACUCUGCUGAGAGGUGGAGGUGCCCGAAAGGGAGCCAGGACACAGGUGCUGCAUGGCUGUCGU
rnacentral:rRNA from 1 species